GAAAUUCAGCCCGCAAUCCUCUGUUUAAUCUUAUCCAGACCCCCCUCUCCAGCGACGGCGGAGCACGGGCAGGUGAGGGGCGGCGCCCUUGUCGCGACCUCCGACCCACCUCGUCGCCGACCCUCCCCGUCCUCUUCUCCCACCUUGCAGCUCCGACCUCGCCACGCCCUGCAUCUGAGUCCCCGCUGUGUACGAGGAGAAGGCGGCGAGCUGGCAACACCCGUAGUGCUGGGAGUGGCGAUGCCGCCGCGGCGCUAGAUGCGGGAGGCCCGUGCACAGCGGCGCCAGUGCAGCCGCUCCAGGUGGCCGACGUUGUGGCCGUGGAGAUGCACGUUGGGCUCGCCUCUGAGGGCGCGGGAGCAGCUCGGUGUGCUAUGCCACCCGCACGGCUACUACAGGUGGCCGACAUCAUGUCCGUGGAGAUGCACGCAGGGGUCGCCUCCAAGUGCGCGGGAGCAAGGUCGAGAUGGUCAUCAACUAUGGCGAUUCUCUCCCGCCAAGGUCCAAUCCUUCCCCGUUCAGAUCUGGAAGUCCGGCCUUAGCCCGGGUAGCUCUCGUGGAAGGGAUACACCACGAGCCCUGAUUUGAUCUGGCGAUAGCGGCACAACAAAAUUCAGAUUACAAACUAGAGGUGGGGCUACCGAGGUUGGGAGGGGGACCGGUGAAACUCAACUGUAACGUUUGCGCGGAUGCGCAACAUGAUUUAGAUAGCCAAGACGGGGGAGGUUCUUAAGAGUCGAGGAUGAUGAUUAGAGGUACUCUAUGAAGUAUGAGAAGGAUGGGGAGAUGGAGAGAGUCCUCAAGAAGACUGCGCUGAUUGGGAAGUUAGAGGUAAUGAGGUAGGCGCUGGGGAAUAAUUUAUGUGCGUACUAUGUUUGCGAGAACAUUCGCAUGACGACGUCCGAAAGGAGCACAUCGGACAAAGCACUUUGGAUGCAAGAGAAGCGGGAUAAGCUCCUACCAGCAGAUCGUGUAUGAGUAAUUCAAGAGGAAAUAGCAGGAUUUUUGCUCGACGAGGUUAUAAAUCCCAAAGGAGAAUACCAUUACAAGCUGUAAUGGCUCCAUGUAAUGAUCUAUUUUUAGGGGCAUCUACAUGAAUCCCAUGCAUGGCUUUGCGGCAUGCAAGUCUUUCCUGCUAGACAAGCAAGAAAACAGAGCCAUCACGCUUGCCCUACUGUAGCAGCCUUCAAAGCACCACAGAAUGUGGGCUCUCUCAAUGUCAGUUCAUUAGCUGAGCUGAUCUCACAUGCUAACAUCAUGUAAUCUUUUUUCUACAUUGCACAUUUAUCAGUUGGAUUAUAUCGUAGACUGCAGUUCAGAUCAUUAUCAUGUAUGUUGC
rnacentral:rRNA from 1 species